ACGACGCCAUCUGGUGAAUGGCUUGGCUUAGGUGACGAUGAAGGGCGUGGCAAGCUGCGAUAAGCCUCGGGGAGACGCAAGCAGUCAUCGAUCCGAGGAUUCCCUAAUGGGACUUCCCGCUCAAGGUAACACUUGAGCAUUCGGGCAGACAUUUGUCCGAAGGUGAACCUCCCGAAAGGAAGCAUCUGAGUAGGGAGAGGAAGAGAAAUCAAAUGAGAUCCCCUAAGUAGGGGCGACCGAAAUGGGGAUAGCCCAAACCGAAUCCCAUGCAGAGAUGUGUGGGAGAUGUAGUGUGCCUGGUGGUAAAUGUAGGCUGGAGUGCUCAGUCGAAGUGGCUUGGAACAGCCUGGCGGAGAUGGUGAAACCCCAGUAGACGAAAAGCAUGAUAGCUUAUACUACCAGGAAGAGUACCUGGCCUUGGCAGUGGCUAGGGAAGAUGGGGGAAAGCAGCCUCCAAGGCUAAAUACAACCUAAGACCGAUAGCGCAAUAGUACCGUGAGGGAAAGCUGAAAAGAACCCCGGAAGGGGGGUGAAAAGAGCCUGAAACCAGAUGGUUACAGACGUAUGUUGCUCAAAAGGUUCCUAGGUUAUGCAGCUGACUCGCAAGAGCCAGAGGCAUACCAACGAACCAGAGUGACAUGUUCCGUCUAGAAACACGGGCCGGGGAGUUCAUCUUCAUGGCAAGCUUAAGGGUAAAACCCGAAGGCGAAGGGAAACCAAGACCUCGCAAUGCUUAAUGCAUGAGGAGGGGGGUCUUAAAUGGGCCCUGUAGUCAUGAGGAUGAGACUAGAAACCGAGCGAUCUUGUCCUGAGCAGGAUGAAGCUGGGCGAAAGCCCGGUGGAGGUCCGAAAGGGUGGUGACGUGCAACUCCCUCCCCAGACUCGGGAUAAGGGGCCAAAAGCCAAUCUAGCUCGGUGAUAUCUAGUUCCCACCGAAGUAGAUCUAAGUCUAGCCUAGGCGGAUGUUGCCAACGCUGUAGAGCACCGAUCGAAAGGCAAGGAUCCGAAAGGGUCCACCUUUCUUUCGAACUCCGAAGGUGUUGGCUCAAAAGAAGCCUAGAGACGGGUUUGUGUGGGGUAAGCCUCACAACCGAGAGGGGGUUAACCCAGACUUGAGUUAAGGUCCCUAAGUGCUGGCUAAGUGUCAAGCUAAAGGGAGUUUCUCUGCUAAGACAGCAGGGAGGUAGGCUCAGAAGCGGCCAUCCUUUAAAGAGUGCGUAACAGCUCACCUGCCGAGCAGAGAUGCCCCGAAGAUGGACGGGACUAAAGCCAGCCACCGAUACUCAGGACCACCUCUUCUAAGGUGUGUGGUAGGUGGGCGUGGAGGUUGGGUGGAAGCAGGACUGUGAAGCCCUGUGGACCGACUUCCAGUGCAGAUCCCGGUGGUAGUAGCAGCGAAGCGUGGUGAGAAUCCACGUCGCCGAAAGGGCAAGGUUUUCCUGGCAACGCGUCGUCGGCCAGGAGGUAGCCGGUCCUAAGCGAUGCCCGAAAGGGUGUGGCGAAGAGGGAAACCCGUUAAUAUUCGGGUGCCUGGAUCUGACCGAGCCAUAUGGCACACUUGACCUUGCGCUUCGGGAUAGGGUGUACGGAGCCGUCGCUCCGUUUAACAGAACAAGGUUCGGGGAGUGUUGUAAUGACGAGAACUGAACCAAGGCUGGAAUAGCCUACCUGUGGGUGGGUACACCUGAUUCCUGGAGACAAUGAAAACAAGGUCGAGGAGGGCAGAUCUAGACCGUACCGAGAACCGACACAGGUGUCCCUAGGUGAGAAGCCUAAGGCGUAUCAGGUAACCGUAGGCGAGGGAACUCGGCAAGUUAGCCCCGUAGCUUCGGUUGAAGGGGUGCCUGCGGUUUUAUCGAUAAGAUGGAAUCGCAGGUCGCAGUUACAAGGGGGUCCCGACUGUUUAAUAAAAACACAGAUGACCGCAAGCCCGAAAGGGUGUGUACGGUCGUUGAAUCCUGGCCAGUGGCGGUACCUAAAACCCUCGUUCAAGAGGGCUAAGGGCCGCUAAACGCCGGGAGUAACUCUGACUCUCUUAAGGUAGCCAAAUGCCUUGUCGGGUAAGUUCCGACGUGCAUGAAUGGACCAACGAGGGCCCCACUGUCCCCGCCUACAACCUGGCGAACCCACGUAAGGUGGACGAACAGUCCAUCAACCCCCAUCGGGGAGAGAAGUCCCUGUGGAGCUUUACUGCAACCUGUUGCUGCGAUGCGGCCAUGGUUGCAGAGUGUAGCCGGGAGCCGUUAUGCACAUCCUUUCGGGGAUGUGAUAGGCGCCAAUGUAACACCGGCCUUCUGUGACUGCGUCGCUAACUAUGCAAAAGCAUAGGACAACGGCAGGCGGGCAGUUCGGCUGGGGCGGCACCCCCUCGAAAAGAUAUCAAGGGGGCCCAAAGAUCGGCUCAGACGGGUCAGAACCCCGUCAAAGAGGGCAAGGCCAAAAGCCGGUCUGACAGGAUCCCUAAAAGCGUCGGAUCCUGGGGCGAAAGCCUGGCCUAGCGAACCUCCAUGUCCCCACUGUUGGGGGCUGGAGACGACAGAAAAGUUACCCCAGGGGUAACAGGCUCGUCGCGGGCGAGAGCUCCUAUCGACCCCGCGGUUUGGUACCUCAUUUAUGGGGUAUGACCGCAGUAAUGCGGGUCAAUAGCAUCGGCUUAUAACGGCGAAGCCCUACCAAAACUAAACAAGAUUAGUGGAAGAGCAAACGAUAACACUGGAGGGUAACGCCGUGGGAAGUCUGGUGUAAGGUUUGCACAAAGCAGAACUAGCAUAUUACCUAUAAUCGUAUACAUGUUAUGUUAUUCUGCUUAGUAUGACCUUCACCAUGACCCCGUAACGACUGAGGUGGCUAAAAAAGCCACCAAUGAGAUAGCAUCCACAAAACGCUGUGAUGCUAUCAUACGCCGACCCCUCAACGUGCAAUAGAGGGUGAAGACAUAGUCUGACUCCGCUGGAGACAGCGGCCAAAGUCGCGAUGUCGGCUCUUCCCAUCCCGGUCCUGCAGCAGGCG
rnacentral:rRNA from 1 species